rnacentral:rRNA from 1 species
AAUGAACGUUGGCGGCGUGGAUUAGGCAUGCAAGUCGAGCGAGAAGGGUUUGGUGCUUGCAUUGAACCUGGAAAGCGGCGAAAGGGAGAGUAACGCGUAGGACACCUGCCCUCAGGCCUGGGAUAGCGGCGGGAAACUGCCGGUAAUACCGGAUAAUGUCUCCGGACCAAAGGUGUGAUUCCGCCUGGGGAUGGUCCUGCGUCCUAUUAGUUUGUUGGUGAGGUAAUGGCUCACCAAGACGAUGAUGGGUAGCGGGCGUGAGAGCGUGGCCCGUCUCACUGGGACUGAGACACUGCCCAGACACCUACGGGUGGCUGCAGUCGAGAAUCUUCCGCAAUGGACGCAAGUCUGACGGAGCGACGCCGCGUGCGGGAUGAAGGCCUUCGGGUUGUAACCGCUGUCAGUGGGGUGGAAUCGGUUUGGGGCUAUCCCUUCCGUUGACCUAACCGCAGAGGAAGUCCGGGCUAAGUACGUGCCAGCGCCGCGGUAA